rnacentral:rRNA from 1 species
AGCAGCCGCGGUAAUUCCAGCUCCAAUAGCGUAUAUUAAAGUUGUUGCAGUUAAAAAGCUCGUAGUUGAAUUUCGGGAUCAAUAUGUUGGUCGUACCAUUGGUACGUACUGGCAUUAUUGAUUCCUACCUUCUGAAGAAUCUUGAUGUCAUUAAUUUGGUGUCUUGGGAAAUCAGGACUGUUACUUUGAAAAAAUGAGUGUUUAAAGUAGGCUCGCGCUCGAAUACAUUAGCAUGGAAUAAUGAAAUAGGACGUUUGAUUCUAUUUUGUUGGUUUCUAGGAUCGAUGUAAUGAUUAAUAGGGAUAGGUUGGGGGCAUUAGUAUUCAAUUGUCAGAGGUGAAAUUC